rnacentral:rRNA from 1 species
CUGGCUGUAAACAUUGGGCACUGGGUAGUGGAACCGCCGAUGGUUUCACUGCCGCAGGGAAACCGUGAAGUGCCCCGCCUGGGGAGUAUGGUCGCAAGGCUGAAACUCAAAGGAAUUGACGGGGGCUCACACAAGCAGUGGAGUAUGUGGCUUAAUUCGAGGCUACGCGAAAAACCUUACCUAGGCUUGACAUGCAGGAAUUAGCCGGCGGAAACGUCGGUGACGCCGCAAGGUGGAAUCUGCACAGGUGC